AGUGAACGCUGGCGGUAGGCCUAACACAUGCAAGUCGAACGGCAGCACAGUAAGGGCUUGCUCUUACGGGUGGCGAGUGGCGGACGGGUGAGGAAUACAUCGGAUCUACUUUUUCGUGGGGGAUAACGUAGGGAAACUUACGCUAAUACCGCAUACGACCUACGGGUGAAAGCAGGGGAUCUUCGGACCUUGCGCGAUUGAAUGAGCCGAUGUCGGAUUAGCUAGUUGGCGGGGUAAAGGCCCACCAAGGCGACGAUCCGUAGCUGGUCUGAGAGGAUGAUCAGCCACACUGGAACUGAGACACGGUCCAGACUCCUACGGGAGGCAGCAGUGGGGAAUAUUGGACAAUGGGCGCAAGCCUGAUCCAGCCAUACCGCGUGGGUGAAGAAGGCCUUCGGGUUGUAAAGCCCUUUUGUUGGGAAAGAAAAGCAGCAGGUUAAUACCCCGCUGUUCUGACGGUACCCAAAGAAUAAGCACCGGCUAACUUCGUG
rnacentral:rRNA from 1 species